rnacentral:rRNA from 1 species
UACGUAGGUGGCAAGCGUUGUUCGGAAUUAUUGGGCGUAAAGCGCGUGUAGGCGGUUUGAUUAGUCUGAUGUGAAAGCCCUGGGCUCAACCCGGGAAGUGCAUUGGAAACUGGGCAACUUGAGUACGGGAGAGGAUAGUGGAAUUCCGAGUGUAGGGGUGAAAUCCGUAGAUAUUCGGAGGAACACCGGUGGCGAAGGCGGCUAUCUGGACCGAUACUGACGCUGAGACGCGAAAGCGUGGGGAGCAAACAGGAUUAGAAACCCGAGUAGU